AUUGCAGGCUGAAACUCGCCUGCAUGAAGUCGGAAUUGCUAGUAAUCGCGAAUCAGCAUGUCGCGGUGAAUACGUUCCCGGGCCUUGUACACACCGCCCGUCAAACCAUGAGAGUUGGCAACACCCGAAGUCGGUAGUCUAACCGCAAGGAGGACGCCGCCGAAGGUGGGGUUGAUGAUUAGGGUUAAGUCGUAACAAGGUAAC
rnacentral:rRNA from 1 species